rnacentral:rRNA from 1 species
GUGGGGAAUCUUCCGCAAUGGACGAAAGUCUGACGGAGCAACGCCGCGUGAGUGAAGAAGGUUUUCGGAUCGUAAAGCUCUUUCGUUAGGGACGAACGUGCUCUUUGUGAAUAAUGAGGAGUAAUGACGGUACCUAAAUAAGAAGCCACGGCUAACUACGUGCCAGCAGCCGCGGUAAUACGUAGGUGGCAAGCGUUGUCCGGAAUUAUUGGGCGUAAAGUGCGCGCAGGCGGGAUAUCAAGUCUGUCUUAAAAGUGCGAGGCUCAACCUCAUGAGGGGACAGAAACUGGUAUUCUUGAGUGUCGGAGAGGAAAGUGGAAUUCCAAGUGUAGCGGUGAAAUGCGUAGAGAUUUGGAAGAACACCAGUGGCGAAGGCGACUUUCUGGACGAUGUCUGACGCUGAGGCGCGAAAGCUAGGGGAGCGAACGGGAUUAGAAACCCUAGUAGUCC